UACAGAGGGUGCAAGCGUUGUUCGGAAUUAUUGGGCGUAAAGAGCUCGUAGGCGGUCUGUCGCGUCUGCUGUGAAAUCCCGAGGCUCAACCUCGGGCUUGCAGUGGGUACGGGCAGGCUAGAGUGCGGUAGGGGAGAAUGGAACUCCUGGUGUAGCGGUGGAAUGCGCAGAUAUCAGGAAGAACACCGAUGGCGAAGGCAGUUCUCUGGGCCGUAACUGACGCUGAGGAGCGAAAGCGUGGGGAGCGAACAGG
rnacentral:rRNA from 1 species